AGCCUCCCAAUGCUUACUACAGGCUGUGUUCUUAACAUUGACUGUAUAGAAAGAAGAGGUAUUGUAAAUGCUCCCCAUAUACAUCUCAAACCAGGCCCUUUGCCUCGUUUUUAUUGUGAAUGGGAGAAAAAAA